rnacentral:rRNA from 1 species
UGGGGGAUAUUGCACAAUGGGCGAAAGCCUGAUGCAGCGACGCCGCGUGGGGGAUGAAGGCCUUCGGGUUGUAAACUUCUUUUGCUCUGAACAAGGCAUGCCUUUGGGGUGUGUUGAGUGUAGGGGUUGAUUAGCGCCGGCUAACUACGUGCCAGCAGCCGCGGUAAUACGUAGGGCGCGAGCGUUGUCCGGAAUUAGUGGGCGUAAAGGGCUUGUAGGUGGCUGGUUGCGUCUGUCGUGAAAGCUCAUGGCUUAACUGUGGGUUUGCGGUGGGUACGGGCUGGCUUGAGUGCAGUAGGGGAGGCUGGAAUUCCUGGUGUAGCGGUGGAAUGCGCAGAUAUCAGGAGGAAUACCGGUGGCGAAGGCGGGUCUCUGGGCUGUUACUGACGCUGAGGAGCGAAAGCGUGGGGAGCGAACAGG